rnacentral:rRNA from 1 species
ACGCGGUGAAUACGUUCCCGGGCCUUGUACACACCGCCCGUCAAGCCAUGGAAGUCAGGGAGACCUGAAGACGGUGCCCGUUAAAGGAACCGUUUAGGGUAAAACUGGUAACUGGGGCU